GGCGCAGUAGCCAAGUGGCUUAGGCAGGGGACUGCAAAUCCUCUUACGUGGGUUCGAUUCCCGCCUGCGCCUCAA
rnacentral:tRNA from 1 species